rnacentral:lncRNA from 1 species
UUUUACAACCCUAAAAACUCACAAAACAUCCACCAAACCGUAGCUGAAAGCAAGGGUUCGAGUAGAUUGACACCCCUUCACGAAAAUGAGCAUAACUCACUCAAUUCUUAUCCGAUUCACUCGAUUCUUUUUCCUACUUGCUUGUAUAAUCAUGGGGUUCGAUUCCUAGACUUCUCCUUGGAGAAAUCAGACCUGGAAAUGCCCCGAAAUAGUCCAUAAACUUUCUGUUUGUUUUUAUGUUCAUCAAAAACUUGUUUAAACCUAUGCAACUUGUGUCCAACACAUCUCAUACCUAUGUCCUAAUGCUUACAACUUAUCCCAUGGUUGGUUAAGCUUAAAAACAAGGUUGAGACAUUUAAAAUCAGAGGAUUAAACCUCAUAAACUUAGUGUUUUGUUUAGGGUUUUUAACCCACAAGUCAUGUCAAACUUUGUCUUUGAUACAUGAGUGAUUAUGGAACAACUUGGGUUGUCCAAACAUACAAUCCUCACAUGAUUUGAUGAUUUCUCUUAGUUAGUAUGUAUAUUUCUUAUUCUUUAUUGUAUGUUCAUGACCCUCCUUGGUUGUUUUUUUUACAUCAAGUGUAGUGGUGAACACAUAGAGGUGCCUAAAUGGAAGACUUGAUCUUCCUACCUCCUACAUGACUUCUAUGACAUUUAGAGGUACCAAAAUGAAGAUUUUAAUCUUCUACCUCAUGCUUGAACUAUUGGACAUAUAUUAUAUAACCUAAAUAUAUUAUUCGAAUAAUCGAAUCUUUGAUGAUGAACUAGUGUUCAUAUGUCGGGGUACUAGAUUACAUCAUCCUAGACUAUGAUAACUUGUCACGAUUCUAAUGGAACCUUGUUCCAUGAAAACAUCUAAACUCCUUCGAGUUUCCUAGUGUCAAGAACAAGCAUCAUAUGUACUAAAUGAUUAUUUUCCAUGUUAUUCUCAUAUCUUAUUUUUAUGUUGUUUUAAACACCGAAUCUCGACUCUAAACAUACUUGAACUUUAACCCUUAUACAUUCGGACUCUAAAUCUCUACUCGUCAACAAUUGGAUAAUCGGAAAACAUAUGCAAACUUUGUGAGUAUACUCGUAUUUCCCCCUUUUUUACUUUUACCACUUUUGGGGUGUAACAUGUUUACCUAUUAACUUACACAUGAACACUUUGUUAAACACAUGAACGUUCCUAUAACAUGCUUGUAUACGUGAUGACUUGAUACGUUAAACUUGGGUUAUUCUUAUGUGUUGAACUUAUCAUUAACUUCGUACGAGCCAAACCUUGACAUAUGUAGCGCUAUAGGAUUAACGACCCGCCCGUAAACUUGAGGUUAUGUCUUGAGCAUAUUGCGUUUUCUUGGUUUGAUAUGUUAGACACAUGCCAUGUUUAAAUGUUUAUCUUGAAUCACAUGCUUGCUAUGAGGAAUUGUUCAAACUUAUCUUUUGCUAUGUUGAGGACGAUGAUGCUAUGAAAUGAAGUAGCGUUGAUGCCUAGAUACACAUAUAGACGUUAGGGUUUAAAAUGUUGUAUCAAAAUUUUGUUAUGUUAUCAUGUUGUUAUGUUAAACUUGUCGUAUUUGAAUUUCUUGUAAUGUUGACUAUUUGAAGUUAUGAAAUGAAAUGAAAUUUGGAUU